rnacentral:ribozyme from 14 species
ACAGUGAGAAAGAAAGAGAGAAGAAAGAAAGAAAAGAAAAGGAACAAUGACAGGAAUAAAGCUUAUUACUACAAACACAGCCAAUAUCUUUUACAUUUUAUUCCAUCCAUCCGUCAACGUCCUUUUAUUUCGAGGAAC